rnacentral:snRNA from 1 species
AUGCUCACUUCAGCAGCACAUAUACUAAAAUUGGAAAGAGAGAAGAUUAGCAUGGCCCCUGCACAAGGAUGACACGCAAAUUUGUGAAGUGUUGCAUAUUUUU